CUCAUAGCGUAUAUUAAAGUUGUUGCAGUUAAAAAGCUCGUAGUUGAACUUCUGGCUAUUCUUCCAGCUGGCUUCGGUCGCUGUAAGAGUGGUCAUCCGCUUGGGAACUACGUUCGAACUUCACUGUUCGGCGUAAGGAACAGGCAUUUUACUUAGAAAAAAUUAGAGUGUUCAAGGCAGGCUAUCGCCCUGAAUACACAAGCUUGGAAUAAUGAAAUAGGACUACUUCCAUUUUAUUGGUUAUUGGAAUUAGUAAUGAUUAAUAGGGACAGUUGGGGACAUUAGUAUUUAAUUGUCAGAGGUGAAAUUCUUGGAUUUAUUAAAGACUAACUUAUGCGAAAGCAUUUGUCAAGGAUGUUUUCAUUAAUCAAGAACGAAAGUUAGGGGAUCAAAGACGAUCAGAUACCGUCCUAGUCUUAACUAUAAACUAUACCGACUAGGGAUUGGCCGGGUCUCUUUAACCGGGUCAGCACCUUAUGAGAAAUCAAAGUCUAUGGGUUCUGGGGGGAGUAUGGUCGCAAGGCUGAAACUUAAAGGAAUUGACGGAAGGGCACCACCAGGAGUGGAGCCUGCGGCUUAAUUUGACUCAACACGGGGAAACUUACCAGGUCAAGACAUAAGUGGGAUUGACAGAUUGAGAGCUCUUUCUUGAUUCUAUGGGUGGUGGUGCAUGGCCGUUCUUAGUUGGUGGAGUGAUUUGUCUGGUUA
rnacentral:rRNA from 1 species